GGGUUGUGAGGUUAAGCGACUAAGCGUACACGGUGGAUGCCCUGGCAGUCAGAGGCGAUGAAGGACGUGCUAAUCUGCGAUAAGCGUCGGUAAGGUGAUAUGAACCGUUAUAACCGGCGAUUUCCGAAUGGGGAAACCCAGUGUGUUUCGACACACUAUCAUUAACUGAAUCCAUAGGUUAAUGAGGCGAACCGGGGGAACUGAAACAUCUAAGUACCCCGAGGAAAAGAAAUCAACCGAGAUUCCCCCAGUAGCGGCGAGCGAACGGGGAGCAGCCCAGAGCCUGAAUCAGUGUGUGUGUUAGUGGAAGCGUCUGGAAAGGCGCGCGAUACAGGGUGACAGCCCCGUACACAAAAAUGCACAUGCUGUGAGCUCGAUGAGUAGGGCGGGACACGUGGUAUCCUGUCUGAAUAUGGGGGGACCAUCCUCCAAGGCUAAAUACUCCUGACUGACCGAUAGUGAACCAGUACCGUGAGGGAAAGGCGAAAAGAACCCCGGCGAGGGGAGUGAAAAAGAACCUGAAACCGUGUACGUACAAGCAGUGGGAGCACAGAGCAAUCUGUGUGACUGCGUACCUUUUGUAUAAUGGGUCAGCGACUUAUAUUCUGUAGCAAGGUUAACCGAAUAGGGGAGCCGAAGGGAAACCGAGUCUUAACUGGGCGUUAAGUUGCAGGGUAUAGACCCGAAACCCGGUGAUCUAGCCAUGGGCAGGUUGAAGGUUGGGUAACACUAACUGGAGGACCGAACCGACUAAUGUUGAAAAAUUAGCGGAUGACUUGUGGCUGGGGGUGAAAGGCCAAUCAAACCGGGAGAUAGCUGGUUCUCCCCGAAAGCUAUUUAGGUAGCGCCUCGUGAAUUCAUCUCCGGGGGUAGAGCACUGUUUCGGCAAGGGGGUCAUCCCGACUUACCAACCCGAUGCAAACUGCGAAUACCGGAGAAUGUUAUCACGGGAGACACACGGCGGGUGCUAACGUCCGUCGUGAAGAGGGAAACAACCCAGACCGCCAGCUAAGGUCCCAAAGUCAUGGUUAAGUGGGAAACGAUGUGGGAAGGCCCAGACAGCCAGGAUGUUGGCUUAGAAGCAGCCAUCAUUUAAAGAAAGCGUAAUAGCUCACUGGUCGAGUCGGCCUGCGCGGAAGAUGUAACGGGGCUAAACCAUGCACCGAAGCUGCGGCAGCGACGCUUAUGCGUUGUUGGGUAGGGGAGCGUUCUGUAAGCCUGCGAAGGUGUGCUGUGAGGCAUGCUGGAGGUAUCAGAAGUGCGAAUGCUGACAUAAGUAACGAUAAAGCGGGUGAAAAGCCCGCUCGCCGGAAGACCAAGGGUUCCUGUCCAACGUUAAUCGGGGCAGGGUGAGUCGACCCCUAAGGCGAGGCCGAAAGGCGUAGUCGAUGGGAAACAGGUUAAUAUUCCUGUACUUGGUGUUACUGCGAAGGGGGGACGGAGAAGGCUAUGUUGGCCGGGCGACGGUUGUCCCGGUUUAAGCGUGUAGGCUGGUUUUCCAGGCAAAUCCGGAAAAUCAAGGCUGAGGCGUGAUGACGAGGCACUACGGUGCUGAAGCAACAAAUGCCCUGCUUCCAGGAAAAGCCUCUAAGCAUCAGGUAACAUCAAAUCGUACCCCAAACCGACACAGGUGGUCAGGUAGAGAAUACCAAGGCGCUUGAGAGAACUCGGGUGAAGGAACUAGGCAAAAUGGUGCCGUAACUUCGGGAGAAGGCACGCUGAUAUGUAGGUGAAGUCCCUCGCGGAUGGAGCUGAAAUCAGUCGAAGAUACCAGCUGGCUGCAACUGUUUAUUAAAAACACAGCACUGUGCAAACACGAAAGUGGACGUAUACGGUGUGACGCCUGCCCGGUGCCGGAAGGUUAAUUGAUGGGGUCAGCGCAAGCGAAGCUCUUGAUCGAAGCCCCGGUAAACGGCGGCCGUAACUAUAACGGUCCUAAGGUAGCGAAAUUCCUUGUCGGGUAAGUUCCGACCUGCACGAAUGGCGUAAUGAUGGCCAGGCUGUCUCCACCCGAGACUCAGUGAAAUUGAACUCGCUGUGAAGAUGCAGUGUACCCGCGGCAAGACGGAAAGACCCCGUGAACCUUUACUAUAGCUUGACACUGAACAUUGAGCCUUGAUGUGUAGGAUAGGUGGGAGGCUUUGAAGUGUGGACGCCAGUCUGCAUGGAGCCGACCUUGAAAUACCACCCUUUAAUGUUUGAUGUUCUAACGUUGACCCGUGAUCCGGGUUGCGGACAGUGUCUGGUGGGUAGUUUGACUGGGGCGGUCUCCUCCUAAAGAGUAACGGAGGAGCACGAAGGUUGGCUAAUCCUGGUCGGACAUCAGGAGGUUAGUGCAAUGGCAUAAGCCAGCUUGACUGCGAGCGUGACGGCGCGAGCAGGUGCGAAAGCAGGUCAUAGUGAUCCGGUGGUUCUGAAUGGAAGGGCCAUCGCUCAACGGAUAAAAGGUACUCCGGGGAUAACAGGCUGAUACCGCCCAAGAGUUCAUAUCGACGGCGGUGUUUGGCACCUCGAUGUCGGCUCAUCACAUCCUGGGGCUGAAGUAGGUCCCAAGGGUAUGGCUGUUCGCCAUUUAAAGUGGUACGCGAGCUGGGUUUAGAACGUCGUGAGACAGUUCGGUCCCUAUCUGCCGUGGGCGCUGGAGAACUGAGGGGGGCUGCUCCUAGUACGAGAGGACCGGAGUGGACGCAUCACUGGUGUUCGGGUUGUCAUGCCAAUGGCACUGCCCGGUAGCUAAAUGCGGAAGAGAUAAGUGCUGAAAGCAUCUAAGCACGAAACUUGCCCCGAGAUGAGUUCUCCCUGACUCCUUGAGAGUCCUGAAGGAACGUUGAAGACGACGACGUUGAUAGGCCGGGUGUGUAAGCGCAGCGAUGCGUUGAGCUAACCGGUACUAAUGAACCGUGAGGCUUAACCUUACAACGCCGAAGCUGUU
rnacentral:rRNA from 1 species